AGCGCGUGGAGCGUAUUGUGGAGCUGCAACGUCGAGAGUUUAAGGUCCGUCAUACAACUACUACGAUGAGAUAGCGCAGGCCACCUGUACGGCUAUGAACACUAGGGCAGGCUGGGUGUUUGCUGUGAGGAGAAAAUGUAAUAGUUGGACCCUCCCUUGCCAGUAUAUCUGUUCUUCACCGAGUCUCGCAGCCCAGGAUCCAAGUGUAAGCAGCAGAGGGUUGGAGUGCUUCAACUCCCUUCAUGUCUACCAAGAUCGACCUGUUCUUCCAUCUGACAUCCAAUCAGGAACUAAUAUGCUGGGACUGGAAGUUUACCGCUACCAGUCGUGUUAUUCCGGCUCCUGUGGACCGAACUAUUGCUGCUGUCGUUCUAAAUAGAUAUAAAUGACCUUUGACAAUAUACAUGGUGUCCCCGAUGUGUGGGCAUUUAGACUUAAUGCAUGUUUACAUAGAGAACUUGAACAACAUUUCCUGUUAUUGAAUUAUUAAUUAACACACCUCAUUUUCGACUUAUCUGACAAUGACUUUGAUAAGCAAAGAGAAUUUUAGCCGUGAGCAGAUGUGUUGCUGUCGUUUUUUACAAUAGAUCUAGACGAAAAAUUGACUUUUUGAAAUAAAGAGCUUGAUUGUUUCAGA
rnacentral:misc_RNA from 1 species